AAAUUGAAGAGUUUGAUCAUGGCUCAGAUUGAACGCUGGCGGCAGGCCUAACACAUGCAAGUCGAACGGUAACAGGAAGCAGCUUGCUGCUUUGCUGACGAGUGGCGGACGGGUGAGUAAUGUCUGGGAAACUGCCUGAUGGAGGGGGAUAACUACUGGAAACGGUGGCUAAUACCGCAUAACGUCGCAAGACCAAAGAGGGGGACCUUCGGGCCUCUUGCCAUCAGAUGUGCCCAGAUGGGAUUAGCUAGUUGGUGAGGUAACGGCUCACCAAGGCGACGAUCCCUAGCUGGUCUGAGAGGAUGACCAGCCACACUGGAACUGAGACACGGUCCAGACUCCUACGGGAGGCAGCAGUGGGGAAUAUUGCACAAUGGGCGCAAGCCUGAUGCAGCCAUGCCGCGUGUAUGAAGAAGGCCUUCGGGUUGUAAAGUACUUUCAGCGGGGAGGAAGGUGUUGUGGUUAAUAACCGCAGCAAUUGACGUUACCCGCAGAAGAAGCACCGGCUAACUCCGUGCCAGCAGCCGCGGUAAUACGGAGGGUGCAAGCGUUAAUCGGAAUUACUGGGCGUAAAGCGCACGCAGGCGGUCUGUCAAGUCGGAUGUGAAAUCCCCGGGCUCAACCUGGGAACUGCAUUCGAAACUGGCAGGCUUGAGUCUUGUAGAGGGGGGUAGAAUUCCAGGUGUAGCGGUGAAAUGCGUAGAGAUCUGGAGGAAUACCGGUGGCGAAGGCGGCCCCCUGGACAAAGACUGACGCUCAGGUGCGAAAGCGUGGGGAGCAAACAGGAUUAGAUACCCUGGUAGUCCACGCCGUAAACGAUGUCUACUUGGAGGUUGUGCCCUUGAGGCGUGGCUUCCGGAGCUAACGCGUUAAGUAGACCGCCUGGGGAGUACGGCCGCAAGGUUAAAACUCAAAUGAAUUGACGGGGGCCCGCACAAGCGGUGGAGCAUGUGGUUUAAUUCGAUGCAACGCGAAGAACCUUACCUGGUCUUGACAUCCACAGAACUUUCCAGAGAUGGAUUGGUGCCUUCGGGAACUGUGAGACAGGUGCUGC
rnacentral:rRNA from 1 species